GGUAGAACAUUUGUGCAGAAAAGGCUGUGUCUACAUAAUCUGGUAAUGCAGUCCAGUAGGGGUAGAUUUGUAGAACACUGGAGCUCUAAGGUCCAAAGCCAGCACAAUCCAUGCAUCCACAGUCCAUAAUAUUCAUUCAUCAAGAUACUUCCAUUUAGAAGAUUCCAGUCCAGACCUGUUGAUGGCCAGUAGAGACUAAAACAAUGCAAUAUAGAUGUUCCACAUCUCCCAGUUUAGUUUAAUUGGAAGAAAAUCUGGUUUGUGCACUCGGUAGUCAUGCUGUGUUACAAACCAACACAUGUAAGAAGUGAAAAUGAAGAGGAGAUUUGCUUUAAAAGCUCAUUUGAUCAAAGUUUUGAACCAAAGCAGAAAAAAACCCAUGCCAAUUAAAGAAGCACAUCAUGUAUUUCCACACCCAGUUCUCACAUCCAGAAAAGGAAAAAAGAAAAAAAAAUGAAGAGGGAAAAUUCACAAGUUUGUUCAGCAUCUGUUGCAGCAUCAACUGUGCUUUCUGAUGAAUAAAUGAAGUGGGAAGUCUUCACUUCAAGAGGUACUGGAGAGUCAUACACUUGUCAGUCAGCUUUGUAGUAUGGCCAAUCAGCAAAUACUCUGGAGGUCUUACUUUAUUAAAUGAAAAAUGCAAUUUAGAUUUUAGGUCCUGUAUUUAAAAUAAAGUUUCCCCCUUGGUUUUAAAUUCCCAUUCUUGUUACUUUCCAGCUGAUCUCCAGACUGAACAGGUGAAGUUAUAUCCCUGCUUCAUGAGACUGAAGCAGCACGUACUGCACUGGUGGAUUUAUUUCUUGUCCACAUCAAAAUGCAGAGACUACUCCACUCAUCAGGUCCAUGGCAUACAGAGGAGAUGUUAUCAACAUGUAACAUGUAUCCUAGCAAGAAAAACUGAGAAUCAGCAGAAGUAUUCAUCAAGCAGAUGACUGAAAGAUCUCCUAUGAGCAGCCAUUCAUUUCCCUGACCUGAUGACAGCCAUCCCUGCUCUGCACACCUGGACGAACUCAGGACAAACCAGCUCUGCCAGUUAUCAUGGAGAUGAAGGGCAGAGAAGGAGAAAAGUUGUAUCAGAAUCAUGGAGAACAUCUUCUGAAAAGGGAAAAAUCUUUGAUGAAGAAGUAAGCCCACAAACCAUACAGAAGUUUAUUUGGUGUCUAAGUAGAAAGGGAAAAAAUGUAUAUAUUCUCCAUGUCUCUUGUUUUCAAUACAUGCAUGACAUAUUAUUUACAGAAUUACCCAUUGCUUACUGGUAUAGUUUGGUUUUUUUUACAGUCUCACUUGGAAAACUACAUAGUGCAUUGGCCAGAGUACCCAGUCUGAAUGCAGAAGUGCUGUCUGGGUGCCUAGCAAUAACUUCUGGUGCCAUUGGUCCAUUUUAAUUGAAUUUGGCAGGCUGAAGUUUGAGAGAGGAAGUUUCUUCCAGUUAUUUUAAGCAAAUGGUGGGUAAGUACAAAAAACACCAGUGGAUGCUCCAGGCUGAAAGCUAAACUCAGUUAGCCUUAGAGAAAAGAGGGCUUUACUUCUUAGCGUAGGCUUUGUGUUUUUAGUGAUGCAUAGAAUUGCUUACUUAUUGUAUGAUUUGCUUUCAUUCGAUUUUCUCCAGAUGUCCAGAGACUGUAGCAUGCGAUGCAAUUGAAAGAACAGCCAUUACCCUUGUUUUAAAAAGAAAUCCUUCAAAAAAAAAUGGGGUUUGUUUUGAACUCCCGGGUUUUAUUUUUCACAUUCAAAGAAAAAAACUUAUUUUUUCUUGUUCCACCUAUAACAUUAUAUUCCUUCUCAGUUUUGAAAAGGUCAUAUCACCUGAUGUAAUAAUUGCUUGCAGCUGUUAUGUA